CCGCACUUAACUCAGUAGGUCAGAGUUCCAAGCUUAUACCUUGGCGGUCGGUGGUUCAAGUCCAUCAGUGCGGA
rnacentral:tRNA from 1 species